rnacentral:snRNA from 1 species
CGUGCUCCGGGCGUCGGC